CGAUCUGCUUUCAGAAACAUGGGAUGAAGUAUAAAAAGGAUCAGAUUUUAAAAGCUGGAAAUGUCAGACGUUUUCUGUUUUAGGAAGAGACAAAAAAAAGUUUAAUUAUUGACUUUAUCUUUGUUCUCCAUAAGUGACAGAUCACGAUCUGCUUUUAGAAACAUAGGAUGAAGUAUAAAAAGGAUCAGAUUUUAAAAGCUGGAAAUGUCAGACGUUUUCUGUUUUGGGAAGAGACAAAAAAAAAGUUUAAUU
rnacentral:misc_RNA from 1 species